UACGUAGGGUCCAAGCGUUGUCCGGAAUUAUUGGACGUAAAGAGCUUGUAGGCGGUUUGUCGCGUCUGCUGUGAAAUUUCGGGGCUCAACCCCGAACUUGCAGUGGGUACGGGCAGACUAGAGUGUGGUAGGGGAGACUGGAAUUCCUGGUGUAGCGGUGAAAUGCGCAGAUAUCAGGAGGAACACCGAUGGCGAAGGCAGGUCUCUGGGCCAUAACUGACGCUGAGAAGCGAAAGCAUGGGGAGCGAACAGG
rnacentral:rRNA from 1 species